UACGUAGGGGGCAAGCGUUGUCCGGAAUCAUUGGGCGUAAAGAGCGUGUAGGCGGCUUGGUGAGUCCGCUGUGAAAGUCCAGGGCUCAACCCUGGAAUGCCGGUGGAAACUGUCAAGCUUGAGUCCGGAAGAGGCGAGUGGAAUUCCUGGUGUAGCGGUGAAAUGCGCAGAUAUCAGGAGGAACACCAAUGGCGAAGGCAGCUCGCUGGGACGGUACUGACGCUGAGACGCGAAGGCUAGGGGAGCAAACGGG
rnacentral:rRNA from 1 species